rnacentral:rRNA from 1 species
GGUUAAGCGACUAAGCGUACACGGUGGAUGCCCUGGCAGUCAGAGGCGAUGAAGGACGUGCUAAUCUGCGAUAAGCGCCGGUAAGGUGAUAUGAACCGUUAUAACCGGCGAUUUCCGAAUGGGGAAACCCAGUGUGACUCGUCACACUAUCAUUAACUGAAUCCAUAGGUUAAUGAGGCGAACCGGGGGAACUGAAACAUCUAAGUACCCCGAGGAAAAGAAAUCAACCGAGAUUCCCCCAGUAGCGGCGAGCGAACGGGGAGGAGCCCAGAGCCUGAAUCAGCAUGUGUGUUAGUGGAAGCGUCUGGAAAGGCGCGCGAUACAGGGUGACAGCCCCGUACACAAAAGCGCAUGUGCUGUGAGCUCGAUGAGUAGGGCGGGACACGUGGUAUCCUGUCUGAAUAUGGGGGGACCAUCCUCCAAGGCUAAAUACUCCUGACUGACCGAUAGUGAACCAGUACCGUGAGGGAAAGGCGAAAAGAACCCCGGCGAGGGGAGUGAAAAAGAACCUGAAACCGUGUACGUACAAGCAGUGGGAGCACCCUUUGGGGUGUGACUGCGUACCUUUUGUAUAAUGGGUCAGCGACUUAUAUUCUGUAGCAAGGUUAACCGAAUAGGGGAGCCGGAGGGAAACCGAGUCUUAAUUGGGCGUUAAGUUGCAGGGUAUAGACCCGAAACCCGGUGAUCUAGCCAUGGGCAGGUUGAAGGUUGGGUAACACUAACUGGAGGACCGAACCGACUAAUGUUGAAAAAUUAGCGGAUGACCUGUGGCUGGGGGUGAAAGGCCAAUCAAACCGGGAGAUAGCUGGUUCUCCCCGAAAGCUAUUUAGGUAGCGCCUCGUGAAUUCAUCUCCGGGGGUAGAGCACUGUUUCGGCUAGGGGGCCAUCCCGGCUUACCAACCCGAUGCAAACUGCGAAUACCGGAGAAUGUUAUCACGGGAGACACACGGCGGGUGCUAACGUCCGUCGUGAAGAGGGAAACAACCCAGACCGCCAGCUAAGGUCCCAAAGUCAUGGUUAAGUGGGAAACGAUGUGGGAAGGCCCAGACAGCCAGGAUGUUGGCUUAGAAGCAGCCAUCAUUUAAAGAAAGCGUAAUAGCUCACUGGUCGAGUCGGCCUGCGCGGAAGAUGUAACGGGGCUAAACCAUGCACCGAAGCUGCGGCAGCGAACGUAUCACUUAAAGCGAUUCAGCGGGUUACGAUUGACGGAGCGAAGCGACGUCAAAGCGUAUACAAAGUCGAGUCGGUUUAAGGAUACGUUCGUUGGGUAGGGGAGCGUUCUGUAAGCCUGCGAAGGUGGCCUGUGAGGGUUGCUGGAGGUAUCAGAAGUGCGAAUGCUGACAUAAGUAACGAUAAAGCGGGUGAAAAGCCCGCUCGCCGGAAGACCAAGGGUUCCUGUCCAACGUUAAUCGGGGCAGGGUGAGUCGACCCCUAAGGCGAGGCCGAAAGGCGUAGUCGAUGGGAAACGGGUUAAUAUUCCCGUACUUGGUGUUACUGCGAAGGGGGGACGGAGAAGGCUAUGUUGGCCGGGCGACGGUUGUCCCGGUUUAAGCGUGUAGGUGUGUGUUCCAGGUAAAUCCGGUUCACUUUAACACUGAGGCGUGACGACGAGGCACUACGGUGCUGAAGCAACAAAUGCCCUGCUUCCAGGAAAAGCCUCUAAGCAUCAGGUAACAUCAAAUCGUACCCCAAACCGACACAGGUGGUCAGGUAGAGAAUACCAAGGCGCUUGAGAGAACUCGGGUGAAGGAACUAGGCAAAAUGGUGCCGUAACUUCGGGAGAAGGCACGCUGACACGUAGGUGAAGUGAUUUACUCACGGAGCUGAAGUCAGUCGAAGAUACCAGCUGGCUGCAACUGUUUAUUAAAAACACAGCACUGUGCAAACACGAAAGUGGACGUAUACGGUGUGACGCCUGCCCGGUGCCGGAAGGUUAAUUGAUGGGGUCAGCGCAAGCGAAGCUCCUGAUCGAAGCCCCGGUAAACGGCGGCCGUAACUAUAACGGUCCUAAGGUAGCGAAAUUCCUUGUCGGGUAAGUUCCGACCUGCACGAAUGGCGUAAUGAUGGCCAGGCUGUCUCCACCCGAGACUCAGUGAAAUUGAACUCGCUGUGAAGAUGCAGUGUACCCGCGGCAAGACGGAAAGACCCCGUGAACCUUUACUAUAGCUUGACACUGAACAUUGAGCCUUGAUGUGUAGGAUAGGUGGGAGGCUUUGAAGUGUGGACGCCAGUCUGCAUGGAGCCGACCUUGAAAUACCACCCUUUAAUGUUUGAUGUUCUAACGUGGACCCGUGAUCCGGGUUGCGGACAGUGUCUGGUGGGUAGUUUGACUGGGGCGGUCUCCUCCUAAAGAGUAACGGAGGAGCACGAAGGUUGGCUAAUCCUGGUCGGACAUCAGGAGGUUAGUGCAAUGGCAUAAGCCAGCUUGACUGCGAGCGUGACGGCGCGAGCAGGUGCGAAAGCAGGUCAUAGUGAUCCGGUGGUUCUGAAUGGAAGGGCCAUCGCUCAACGGAUAAAAGGUACUCCGGGGAUAACAGGCUGAUACCGCCCAAGAGUUCAUAUCGACGGCGGUGUUUGGCACCUCGAUGUCGGCUCAUCACAUCCUGGGGCUGAAGUAGGUCCCAAGGGUAUGGCUGUUCGCCAUUUAAAGUGGUACGCGAGCUGGGUUUAGAACGUCGUGAGACAGUUCGGUCCCUAUCUGCCGUGGGCGCUGGAGAACUGAGGGGGGCUGCUCCUAGUACGAGAGGACCGGAGUGGACGCAUCACUGGUGUUCGGGUUGUCAUGCCAAUGGCACUGCCCGGUAGCUAAAUGCGGAAGAGAUAAGUGCUGAAAGCAUCUAAGCACGAAACUUGCCCCGAGAUGAGUUCUCCCUGAGACUUAGAGUCUCCUGAAGGAACGUUGAAGACGACGACGUUGAUAGGCCGGGUGUGUAAGCGCAGCGAUGCGUUGAGCUAACCGGUACUAAUGAACCGUGAGGCUUAACCUU